rnacentral:rRNA from 1 species
UGCGUAGGCGGGCUAAUAAGUCAGUGGUGAAAUCUCUCGGCUCAACCGGGAAACUGCCAUUGAUACUGUUAGUCUUGAGUUCGGUUGAGGUAGGCGGAAUGUGUAAUGUAGCGGUGAAAUGCUUAGAUAUUACACAGAACACCAAUUGCGUAGGCAGCUUACUAGACCGACACUGACUCUGAGGCACGAAAGCGUGGGGAGCGAACAGGAUUAGAUACCCUGGUAGUCC